rnacentral:rRNA from 1 species
GACGAACGCUGGCGGCGUGCCUAAUACAUGCAAGUCGAACGCUUCUUUCCUCCCGAGUGCUUGCACUCAAUUGGAAAGAGGAGUGGCGGACGGGUGAGUAACACGUGGGUAACCUACCCAUCAGAGGGGGAUAACACUUGGAAACAGGUGCUAAUACCGCAUAACAGUUUAUGCCGCAUGGCAUAAGAGUGAAAGGCGCUUUCGGGUGUCGCUGAUGGAUGGACCCGCGGUGCAUUAGCUAGUUGGUGAGGUAACGGCUCACCAAGGCCACGAUGCAUAGCCGACCUGAGAGGGUGAUCGGCCACACUGGGACUGAGACACGGCCCAGACUCCUACGGGAGGCAGCAGUAGGGAAUCUUCGGCAAUGGACGAAAGUCUGACCGAGCAACGCCGCGUGAGUGAAGAAGGUUUUCGGAUCGUAAAACUCUGUUGUUAGAGAAGAACAAGGACGUUAGUAACUGAACGUCCCCUGACGGUAUCUAACCAGAAAGCCACGGCUAACUGCGUG